rnacentral:pre_miRNA from 1 species
UACUUACUUCCUCCGUUCGGAGUUACUUGUCGCGGAAAUGGAUGUAUCUAGACGUAUUUUAGUUCUACAUACAUUCAUUUUCGAGACAAGUAAUUCCGAAUUGAGGGAAUAUAUU